AUGUCAUGCACCAGCUGGAAAUGGACCAGUAAUCACACCGUCUCAUCUCUCACUGCUGGAACUCAAUACACAUUCACUCUCUACUCUGUGUUUGAGAACGUCAGAAGCAGUGGAGUCAGCAUUACUGCAGUCACUGCUCCUUCAAAUGCACAAAACCUCAUAUCAUCAGGACAAAAUGAAACCAGCAUCACUCUGCAGUGGAAUAAAGUCAACAACAAUGUCAGCUUUGUUCUCCAGUUUAAUGGUACAGAGACAAGCAUCAGUGCACCAGCUGGAAAUGGACCAGUGAAUCACACAGUCUCAUCUCUCACUGCUGGAACUCAAUACACAUUCACUCUCUACUCUGUGUUUGAGAACGUCAGAAGCAGUGGAGUCAGCAUUACUGCAGUCACUGCUCCUUCAAAUGCACAAAACCUCAUAUCAUCAGGACAAAAUGAAACCAGCAUCACUCUGCAGUGGAAUAAAGUCAACAACAAUGUCAGCUUUGUUCUCCAGUUUAAUGGUACAGAGACAAGCGUCAGUGCACCAGCUGGAAAUGGACCAGUGAAUCACACCGUCUCAUCUCUCACUGCUGGAACUCAAUACACAUUCACUCUCUACUCUGUGUUUGAGAACGUCAGAAGCAGUGGAGUCAGCAUUACUGCAGUCACUGGGCCUAAUUAUGUUAUUGGACUGAAAGCGAGACUGCGGGCAUUUGUUCAGCUGUCAGAGUCGGACAUUCAGGAGAGACUGGAAGAGUUCUUCAGACAACAUGGAUUACAGCCACAGGUUUUAUCCCUGAGGAAUCUGAAGGUUAAACCAUGACACUAGUGGAGAAAAGUGCUUUAUACUUUACAAAUUUCCAAUUAAUUUCCUCAAACUGGAACAAGAAUUAAUUUGAUUGACCAUUUUUGAAGAUCUCCAUAUACAUAAUUGUUUGUAUUCUGGGUACUGAGCAGCAGCAGAGGUCAUUAACAAGUUAAAUGUUAUCUUGACCUUUUUGUAAUCUUUGUUGCUCAGAAGUUAAUAACAGGUGUGCAAAGUUUUGUUUAUCAGUGUUUUAAAUGUGAUAAUGCAAUUAAAUUAAAUACUGUGGGCAUUUAUGCUAUAUCAUUAUCUUUCUAAACCGAUGAGUUAUAUUUUUAUGGUAUCUAUUUGAACAAACAGAAUACUGCGUUAAUGUAACUCCCUUGCACCCCUUGCUGGAAAUAAAAGUAAUUACAGUGGUAUUGCUUUUGUUGUAGGUCUGGAAAAGGAGAAUCAAUCUAGCUGAGAUCAUGUCUAACGUCAAAUUCCUUAUCACUUCUUUUUUGUCAGUGUUGCCAUAUUUCUGAUGGCCACACAUUUUAAAU